AUCCACGUGGAGACAUCCAGAGACACUGGAAGUGAAUGGGGAAUUCUAGCAGUUUUCAUCCUUAAGGUGAUCAUAAGACUGUCCAGCCUGGAAUGGAAACAGUGCUCUCCUUUGGCCAGAAGUCAUUCUAUUUUGGAACCACGGAGCACAUCUGGUGGGACCCCUGAAAAUCUCGAGGUGGAAGAAAAGUGUCAGGUGGAACUGAACUAGGACCCUGUGCUAGCCAUCCGUGUGUCCCGCACAGCAUCUAAUAAGGUCAACUGCCUCGAGGAGGUACUCCCUAAGACAUUUGAGGAUGUGAGUGGACAAAAAUAUGAAGAAAGCGACAUGCUGGAAUAACCCCUGCCCAAAAUUCUCUGGAACACAUUUGAGGAUGUGAGUGGACAAAAAUAUGAAGAAAGCGACAUGCUGGAAUAACCCCUGCCCCACAUUCUCUGGAACAGAGAGCACGCACAUGCGUGAGUGGAGGGAGGAGCAGAGGGAGAGGGAGAGAGAGAACCUCAAGCAGACUCCAUACCAAGCGCAGAGCCCGACAUGAGGCUCCAUCCCAUGACUGCGAGAUCAUGACCUGAACCGAAACCAAGAGUUGGACGCUCAUCCGACCGAGCCACCCAGGUGCCCCAUCCUGUUGUUUUGAGUGAGAAGUGGCUCCAGCUCUCCAGGUGCUUUAAGAGAAUGUUGACUUGUAGAAAGAACACUCUCCUGCGAGCUCAUGAGGCAACCCGCUUUCCACCAAGCUCUACGACUGGCCAGCAUUAAGCCCAUUCCUCUGUUUAGCCUGGGUUUUGUUUUGUUUUCUUAAGUGAGAUCAAUGCCUGUCCUGCCUACCUCUCAGGAGCAUUAUUAUUAGAAGAAAAUGAGGAGAUAAACAUGAAAGCAUAUUCCUACCAUUUAUAGUAAUAUUCUGUGGCUGAGUCCCCCGCACCCUUCAGCUCUGUUAGUUCAGCACUCCCUCCAGGAGGCCUCACUGGACCCCCUUCAGCCUGGGUUAGGUGCCCCCACUUCCCUAGCAGUCAGUCUCCGGCAGAUUGCUUGUGGUCAGUUUACUUCUCUGCCUAAGCUAGUGAUUGAGGCUAGCUGGUUGGUCCCCGUGUCCUUACUCCAGCACCGAGCACUGCUGGGGGCUCCGUACAUCUUUGUGCGCAGCACGAGUUGCCACAUGCAGAAUACCAUGCAAUAGUUACUGGUUGGCUUUUUUUUUUUUUUAAAGAUUUUAUUUAUUUAUUUGAGAGAGAGAGAGUGAGAGACAGAGAGCACGAGAGGGAAGAGGGUCAGAAAGAGAAGCAGAGCCCCCGCCAAGCAGGGAGCCCGAUGUGGGACUCGAUCUCAGGGCCCCAGGAUCAUGACCUGAGCCGAAGGCAGUCGCUUAACCGACUGAGCCACCCAGGCGCCCUGGUUGGCUUUUUAUAUAACACAACCAGAAACUGAGACUCUAGCUGCUUGAGACAGGUUUGCACCCUGGACUUGCCAACUUCCACUCUAAAGCUGCCACACAAAGUAUUCCCUGGGUGGGAAGGAAGUCUGUUAAAACAGCACGACUGCCACUUGUCACCCAGGCCAGCUCCUCGAGGCCAGAGGUAACAGAAAGAAGAGUGGGUGGAGCAGGAAGCCUACAGAGCCCCGGAUUCCAGUCCAGCCUUGCCCCUGGCCAGCUCGGUGGCGCUGGGCACAGGUCACCGUGCUGGAACUUUGCUUGGCUGUCUGCAAAAAUGAGUUGGUAGGGCUGUCUCUAACACCCUCUGAUUUAUAUUGUCCCGAAACACAAAAACGGGUGGACCCAGCAAUCCAGGCUCAGGCAGCCACCCAGAGAGAUGGGUUUUGUUUGCUGGCCUAGAGGAGGCAGCAAAUAACCUUUCUGUCACCAUGUCUGGCAAGGAUGAAACGAUUUCAGCCCAAGAUGUGAAAUGGAAGAAUUCGUGCUGUGUGUGUGGCUAAGUCUGCACACCAGUGUGUGCGCAGAGGGCUAGACCCAGAGGGAGAGCCACGCUACCGGUUCGUGGAGCUGCUUAAGCACGUGUGCCAUACUGAUAAUAAAGAGAAUCGCCAAAGUGUGUGUGUGUGUGUGUGUGUGUGUG